rnacentral:pre_miRNA from 1 species
UUUUAAAAUGAGGUUGUCUAAAUGACUCAUGAUAAAGUUUGGGUUAAAUAAUCCAUCAUCCAAUCACAUUGGAAAUAAGUGAGUUUUUAUCUCCAAUGUGAUUGGAUGAUGAAUUAUUUAACCCAAACUUUAUCAUGGGUCAUUUAGACAACCUCUUUUAAAA